GAUGAACGCUGGCGGCGUGCUUAACACAUGCAAGUCGAACGGGAAAUAUUUCAUUGAGACUUCGGUGGAUUUGAUCUAUUUCUAGUGGCGGACGGGUGAGUAACGCGUGGGUAACCUGCCUUAUACAGGGGGAUAACAGUCAGAAAUGGCUGCUAAUACCGCAUAAGCGCACAGAGCUGCAUGGCUCAGUGUGAAAAACUCCGGUGGUAUAAGAUGGACCCGCGUUGGAUUAGCUUGUUGGUGGGGUAACGGCCCACCAAGGCGACGAUCCAUAGCCGGCCUGAGAGGGUGAACGGCCACAUUGGGACUGAGACACGGCCCAGACUCCUACGGGAGGCAGCAGUGGGGAAUAUUGCACAAUGGGGGAAACCCUGAUGCAGCGACGCCGCGUGAAGGAAGAAGUAUCUCGGUAUGUAAACUUCUAUCAGCAGGGAAGAUAGUGACGGUACCUGACUAAGAAGCCCCGGCUAACUACGUGCCAGCAGCCGCGGUAAUACGUAGGGGGCAAGCGUUAUCCGGAUUUACUGGGUGUAAAGGGAGCGUAGACGGUGUGGCAAGUCUGAUGUGAAAGGCAUGGGCUCAACCUGUGGACUGCAUUGGAAACUGCCAUACUUGAGUGCCGGAGGGGUAAGCGGAAUUCCUAGUGUAGCGGUGAAAUGCGUAGAUAUUAGGAGGAACACCAGUGGCGAAGGCGGCUUACUGGACGGUAACUGACGUUGAGGCUCGAAAGCGUGGGGAGCAAACAGG
rnacentral:rRNA from 1 species